rnacentral:tRNA from 2 species
GCGGCUUUAGCUCACUUGGGAGAGCGCCAGACUGAAGCGAAUUCAAGUCACGAUAUCUGGAGGCACUGUGUUCGAUCCACAGAAGCCGCA